UUUUUUUUUUUUUUUUUUUUUUUUGUAUUUUUUGCAGAGACAGGGUUUCACCAUGUUAGCCAGGAUGGUGUUGACCUCCUGACCUCAUGAUCCACCUGCCUCGGCCUCCCAAAGUGCUGGGAUUACAGGCGUGAGCCACUGCGCCCAGCCAUGUCUCACAUUUUCUUUAUCCAUUCAUUUGUUGAUGGACACAGGUUGAUUUCAUAUCUUGGCUAUUUUGAAUAGUGCUGCAAUAAACCUUGGGAUGUAGGUAUUCCUUUGAUAUACUGAUUUCCUUUGGAUAAAUACCUAAUAGUGAAAGUGCUGGAUCAUAGAAAAAACAAUUUUAAAUUUUGAAUUUUUUUUUUAAUGAUCUUACUAGUAAAGUAUACUAGUAAAUCAGCAAGUUCUGCUAAGGCAGUAGAAGUCUGCUCAAAUAAUGUUUCCAUUUCCAAUGACUCAUUAAGUACAAUAAUUACAACAAUUACCAUCACUUCUGUUUCCCUCAUGCUUUCUAUUGAUCCACAUACUCUGCCCCUAAAACUGCGCUAAGCACUUAACAAGGAAUUCACAUACUAAUGUGUGGGGUAUCUGCAUGACCCCGCCACAGAAUAAGAGAAAUAAAUUGAUCUUUUUUUCCAUUGGCAAUGGAAUGACAAUAAUUUUUACUUUUCUUUUUCCUUGUUGCCAUCCAUAGAUCUAUACCCAUUAGCAAUCACAGAAAAAGAGCAGUAGGGGAGGAGUUCAAGAAGAGAUGAGAGAUAGGAAAGAAGCAUUAUAAUUCGGCAAAAUGUGAGUAAGGGAACCUCCCUUUUUCUAACCCCUGGAAGCUCUGGCUAGAGCUCAUCUUGCCUCCAGAUGCAGAAAGCAGAUUCUACAACAUAGAGUCACUGUCUACAGCCAUAUCACCCUGAAUGCACCUAAUCUCAGAGGCUAAGCAGGGCCUGACCUGGUUUAUACUUGAAUGGGAGCCACCACAGCAUCGCUGAUGCAAUCUCUAGAUUAAGUGGUAGCUGGGCCCAAUGUGAGUUUUUGGCAAGAGGAAAAUAAUAGAAAAGGAAGAGAAAGAGGCAUGUGUUUCUGCUCCUGUUGAAAUACUAUUUGUCCUUUAAGGCUGCCUGCUCUGUGAAGUUUUCUUCUAAUUCUGUCCCAUCCCACUCACCCCUGUCAGACAUAACUACUCUUCCUCCAUCCUGCCAUAGACAUGUGUGAUAAAAGAAAUCAAAGAGGACUAUCAGUCUUCUGUGCAUAGUGAGGGUGCAUGUGUCUAAAGCAGAUUGCAGAAAUGUUUGCAAUUCUUUUCCCCUACUCCCAUCAAGAGCUGGAGCUCUUCCCCACUGCUGGAUUUGGCCUUGUAACUUGCUGGGGCCAACAGAACAUGUUACGUGUAUUCUAAGCCUGUCUUCUAGAGGCUUUGCAAGCUGCCCCUUGCCUCCCUGGAACCCUGCCUCUGCCACCUGAACAAGCCCAAGUCUGCCUGGGAGAGAAUGAGAGAGUAUGCAGAGAAAGACUCUAGUCAUCCAGGCUAUCACUGACCAGCCUGGCCCAUCAGCCAGCCU
rnacentral:lncRNA from 1 species